rnacentral:rRNA from 1 species
GCAGUCGAGCGAGCUGAAUUCAAAGAUCCCUUCGGGGUGAUUUGUUGGACGCUAGCGGCGGAUGGGUGAGUAACACGUGGGCAAUCUGCCCUAAAGACUGGGAUACCACUUGGAAACAGGUGCUAAUACCGGAUAACAACAUGAAUCGCAUGAUUCAAGUUUGAAAGGCGGCGUAAGCUGUCACUUUAGGAUGAGCCCGCGGCGCAUUAGCUAGUUGGUGGGGUAAAGGCCUACCAAGGCAAUGAUGCGUAGCCGAGUUGAGAGACUGAUCGGCCACAUUGGGACUGAGACACGGCCCAAACUCCUACGGGAGGCAGCAGUAGGGAAUCUUCCACAAUGGACGCAAGUCUGAUGGAGCAACGCCGCGUGAGUGAAGAAGGUUUUCGGAUCGUAAAGCUCUGUUGUUGGUGAAGAAGGAUAGAGGCAGUAACUGGUCUUUAUUUGACGGUAAUCAACCAGAAAGUCACGGCUAACUACGUGCCAGCAGCCGCGGUAAUACGUAGGUGGCAAGCGUUGUCCGGAUUUAUUGGGCGUAAAGCGAGCGCAGGCGGAAUGAUAAGUCUGAUGUGAAAGCCCACGGCUCAACCGUGGAACUGCAUCGGAAACUGUCAUUCUUGAGUGCAGAAGAGGAGAGUGGAAUUCCAUGUGUAGCGGUGGAAUGCGUAGAUAUAUG